UAUUAUUACUGCUCAGUAACACGUAGUCAACCUGCCCUAGAGACAUGAAUAACCCCGGGAAACUGGGAUUAAUACAUGAUAGAUCAUCUCAUCUGGAAGGAGAGAUGGUUUAAAGGGGUGCGCGAGCUUCUUUUGUGCAUCCGCUCUAGGAUGGGACUGCGGCCGAUCAGGCUGUUGGUGGGGUAAUGGCCCACCAAACCUGUAACCGGUACGGGCCUUGAGAGAGGGGGCCCGGAGAUGGACACUGAGAGAAGGGUCCAGGUCCUACGGGGCGCAGCAGGCGCGAAACCUUCGCAAUGCGCGAAAGCGUGACGAGGUUAAUCCGAGUGGUUCCCGCUGAGGGAAUCUUUUGUGGCUCUAAAAUGGCCAGUGAAUAAGGGGAGGGCAAGUCUGGUGUCAGCCGCCGCGGUAAUACCAGCUCCUCGAGUGGUCGGGGCGAUUAUUGGGCCUAAAGCAUCCGUAGCCUGUUCUGUAGGUCUUCUGUUAAAUCCAACGGCUUAACCGUUGGCCUGCAGAAGAUACCGCAGGACUAGGAGGCGGGAGAGGUGGACGGUACUCCACGUGUAGGGGUAAAAUCCUUUGAUCCGUGGAAGACCACCAGUGGCGAAGGCGGUCCACCAGAACGCGCUCGACGGUGAGGGAUGAAAGCUGGGGGAGCGAACCGGAUUAGAUACCCGGGUAGUCCCAGCCGUAAACGAUGCGAGCUAGAUGAUCCAAUCGCAAAUCGCGAUUGGAGUGUCGCAGGGAAGCCGUUAAGCUCGCCGCCUGGGGAGUACGGUCGCAAGACUGAAACUUA
rnacentral:rRNA from 1 species